AAAGACAGUUAUUGCAUUCAGUUAGCACUUAAUCUACGAGCUCCUACAGAAUGUAAAGAGCGAGAUUUUACUUGCACAAAGUAAAGAGAUAUGACACUCACAAUUGAUUAUUUAUCUGCUUUCAUAUUUUACAGAUUUACCCAGAUCUACACUGACUGUGACACCAGACAGUCCUGUAUUCACUGGAGAGACAGUCAAUCUGACGUGUGUAAUAAACUCUGAUCACAGUGACUGGAAAUAUGAGUGGUAUAAAGGUACAAACAACAGUGUAAAGUUACAGACGUCUGAGCGUUACACCAUAGACAGAGACACACUCACUAUCAGAGGAGUGAAUGAGUCUGAUCAGGAUCAGUUCUGGUGUAGAGGACAGAGAGAUGGAAGACCAAACUCAUCACAGGAGAGUGAACGAAUAAAUCUGUCUGUUAAUGUCUCAGCAGCUUCAUCUUCUCUUCUGGUCACUGGUGUGGUUGUGGGAUUGAGUGUUUGUCUGUUGUUCUUCCUCUCACUGCUGCUGAUGUGGAGAUACAAGAAGAACAAAGAUCAGCAGCGUCACAUUAACCAGACAUCAGUCCCAAAUCAAUCUGCACAAUCUCAACCGGAAAACUUUCCUCUACAGUCUGAUUCUGAUCACAUUUAUGACGACGUGACUGAAGUCAAUAUGAGAGACAAAGAUGAUCCAGAGACCUUGGCAGAUGUCACAUAUUCGGAGGUCACUGUUAAGAAAAAGAUGGACAGAGGUAAUGCUAAGGCAGAGUCAAAUAAUGUGACAUACUCAGAAGUCGGAAAAAGAGGAAAGAAAUGCAAAAGUAAAGAUAUUAAUCCUGCAGGAUCCAGUGAUUUGACUUACGCACAGAUCAAUAUACAGGACAAGAAGAAAACCAAAGGCAAAGGGAAGAGCAGUGAGUCUGGAGACACUUUGUACUCUGAACUGAAGCAGAACACAGAUAGAGAUGCUGAUGCUGGAGUUGGUGAUGCAACUCAUGUUCUAGCUUUUUGGAAAAAGGGUCACAAGAAGAUUAAAACGUGUAAGAAUUCUGUUAGAUGUUCAAUGAUUUUACAAUAACUGACAACAAAGCUCAUAAUUUGCACUCGUUCCUGCAGAUUGUGGGGAUAAAUUGGUUCUUAUACAUUUUAAACUUUCUUUAAGUCAUUUGGUUCAGUUAUUUGUGAUGACUAUAAAAUGUCAAAUGAAUGAGCUCAUUAUUCACAUCAGCUGCAUAAAGCAUCAUCUUUUAUUUCUUCAAAGGUCCCUGAGUGCAGAGAAGACACCAGACGGCUAAAAGAGGUUCACAGCAGCAGACACAGUAACGCUUGCAUUGCUUAAGAAAUGAAUCUGAGUGAACUGCUUAUGCACAUACUUGACUGAAAUACUUUAGAGAUAGGCACUGUAUUAUCUAUACACAUUAUGUAGGCAAACAGAUCUAUCUAUAAUAUGUAUUAAAAAUAAUUUUAUUUGUGCACUUUUGUUUAACAGCUUUAAGUGAAACUGCCCUUCAAGUUAUUACAUUAUUACAUGAUUCGACUGGAGCUGUACAGCAGUUAAACAGUAAUUGGUCACUUGUCUGAUAGUUAAAUAUAACAUGUUCUUUGUCUUAUAAAAUAAUGCCUGUGUUUUUGCCAAGACUGUGAGGCUAACAUGAUUGUUCUUACAUACACAGUAUAUUCAUAAAUACUGCUUUUUUACAUUAGUAUAUUUUCCUCCAUUUCAUAUAUGCUUUUUUUUUUUUUUUUUUUUGUCUACAGUUAUUAAUGAAGCUGUAGAUUUAUAUUUGCUAAAUAAACACAAAAGAACAGACAUUUGUAUGUUUCCUUUGCAUGAUUUUUUCACAGUUAGGGUCGUUUUAACCACAGGUAAAGGUAAUUCCAGGUUAGUAGCACUAAACAAAUCAGCAUUUUGCUUUGAAUGUUGAAAAAGUUGGAUCAAGACCUUACCUGACAGUCAUGAAGAUCUGUUCACAUGUGUGAGAUUGAUUAACUUCUGCUGUCAGUCUUAGUCCAGCAGCCUCUGGAGGGAGUCUUGCAGUGGAUUCCUGAAGUGUGAUCAGUGACUGACAGUGUAUCUUGAUGACAUUGCUCACGCACAGAUGAUCAGCGUCAUCUAGUUCCUAUAAAAAGUGGAAUAGAAGUUAGAGGUGAGGAGAGGAUGUUUCUUUUAAGAAGACUUUGAAACUGAAAUUCUUAUAAUGAGAUGCAUGAUAAACAAACUAAACAAGAAGAUUAAGAAUCUCAUCAGCGGUGUUACUGUGUAGUGCAGGCACAUAAUGGGAAAUAUUUAUAAUGCUGAGAA
rnacentral:lncRNA from 1 species